UACGUAGGGUGCGAGCGUUAAUCGGAAUUACUGGGCGUAAAGUGUGCGCAGGCGGCAGAGCAAGUCGAGUGUGAAAGCCCCGGGCUUAACUUGGGAAUUGCGCUCGAAACUACUUUGCUGGAGUGUGGCAGAGGAAGGUGGAAUUCCACGUGUAGCGGUGAAAUGCGUAGAUAUCAAGUGGAACACCAGUGGCGAAGGCGAAUCCCUGGAAAAUACCUGACACUGAGGCACGAAAGCUAGGGGAGCAAACAGG
rnacentral:rRNA from 1 species